rnacentral:rRNA from 1 species
AUUGAACGCUGGCGGCAGGCCUAACACAUGCAAGUCGAGCGAGCGGCGGACGGGUGAGUAAUGUAUGGGGAUCUGCCCGUUAGAGGGGGAUAACUACUGGAAACGGUGGCUAAUCCCGCAUACUAUCGGAUGGACCCAUAUGGGAUUAGCUAGUAGGUGGGGUAAAGGCUCACCUAGGCGACGAUCUCUAGCUGGUCUGAGAGGCUGAUGAGCAACACGGGGACGGAGACACGGCCCAGACUCCUACGGGAGGCAGCAGUGGGGAAUAUUGGACAAUGGGCGAAAGCCUGAUGCAGCCAUGCGGCGUGUAUGAAGAAGUUUUUAGGGUUGUAAAGUACGUUCAGCGGGGAGGCGGUACCCGAAGAAGAAGGAACGGCUAACUACGUGCCAGCAGCCGCGGUAAUUC